UACGUAGGAGGCAAGCGUUGUCCGGAAUUACUGGGCGUAAAGCGCGUGUAGGUGGUGGGACAAGUCUGCUGUGAAAGCGCCUGGCUUAACCGGGCGAGGUCGGCGGAAACUGUCGCACUCGAGGACGGUAGAGGGGGGUGGAAUUCCCGGUGUAGUGGUGAAAUGCGUAGAGAUCGGGAGGAACACCUGUGGCGAAGGCGGCCCCCUGGGCCGGCCCUGACACUGAGACGCGAAAGCGUGGGGAGCAAACAGG
rnacentral:rRNA from 1 species